CUUUCACUGAGCUGGUUGUUAUCAAUGGAGUCAGGCAGUUUAGACUACAGGUGAUUUAGAGAGGAAAGGGAAAAAUUGAAUCAAUGAGGGAGAAGAAACAAUUGCCCAACAAUCAAGAAAUUAUCCUUAAACUUCCAGGCCAGAAGCAACCACUUCUUGCUCUCAACUAAGAACUGAGAGGCAGGCUGGCACAAAUGGAUAUAGUCUAAGAAUUAACAACAAAGAGACUUGUAUUCAAAUCCUGU
rnacentral:lncRNA from 1 species